AGUGAACGCUGGCGGUAGGCCUAACACAUGCAAGUCGAACGGCAGCACAGUAAGAGCUUGCUCUUACGGGUGGCGAGUGGCGGACGGGUGAGGAAUACAUCGGAAUCUACUUUUUCGUGGGGGAUAACGUAGGGAAACUUACGCUAAUACCGCAUACGACCUACGGGUGAAAGCAGGGGAUCUUCGGACCUUGCGCGAUUGAAUGAGCCGAUGUCGGAUUAGCUAGUUGGCGGGGUAAAGGCCCACCAAGGCGACGAUCCGUAGCUGGUCUGAGAGGAUGAUCAGCCACACUGGAACUGAGACACGGUCCAGACUCCUACGGGAGGCAGCAGGGGGGAAUAUUGGAAAAUGGGCGCAAGCCUGAUCCAGCCAUACCGCGUGGGUGAAGAAGGCCUUCGGGUUGUAAAGCCCUUUUGUUGGGAAAGAAAAGCAGCAGGUUAAUACCCCGCUGUUCGGACGGUACCCAAAGAAUAAGCACCGGCUAACUUCGU
rnacentral:rRNA from 1 species